GCUCAAGGAGUCCUCGCUCCUCGGCCUCCGAAAGUGUUGGGGUUACUGGCGUCAGCCGCCGCGCCCGGCCUAAGAGGGGACGCUUUGAAGCAGAGCAGAAUCGCUCUGAGAUUCCUGCAGGUAGACACCAAGGAUCUCCUCAGAGCCAGCGCUGAUCUCAUCCACAGAGGGAUCACAUGACCUCAUCUGGGAAAAUAUAAACCCUACCCACCUGCCUGCCCAUUUGGAAAUGCAGACUGGAGGACGCUAAGUUCAUUCUUACCUAUGUACUAACAAGUACACAAGAAGAUGCUCAAUAUCAUUAGUCCUUGGGGAAAUGCAAAUUAGAUUAUAAUGAGAUUCCAGUGUACACCCACUAGAAGGCUAUUAAAAAGGACAAUACCAACUGUUGGCAACAAUGUGGAGAAAUGGAACCCCUCCUACGUUUCUGAUGAGAAUGUAAAAUGGUGCAGAUACUUUGGAAAACAGUUUGGCAAUUUAUUAAAAGAUUAAAUAAGCAUAAACUUA
rnacentral:lncRNA from 1 species